rnacentral:rRNA from 1 species
UACGUAGGGGGCCAGCGUGUCCGGAAUCAUUGGGCGUAAAGCGCGCGUAGGCGGUCAGGUAAGUCCGGUGUGAAAGUCAUAAGGCUCAACCUAUGGAUGCCGCUGGAAACUGCCUGACUUGAGUCCGGGAGGGGCGAGUGGAAUUCCCGGUGUAGCGGUGAAAUGCGCAGAUAUCGGGAGGAACACCGGUGGCGAAGGCGGUUCUCUGGGCCUGUACUGGACGCUG